rfam:Arabis alpina cultivar Pajares chromosome 3, whole genome shotgun sequence.
GGACUGUGACGAUUGACAUUAAAGGUCUCGUUCGUCGUAAUAUAGGCCUUUAUAGUCUAUUUGACGACCAUUACAAUAUUCUGAGUCC